CAUGAGAUGUCCAAAUUUUAUAACCCAAGCAAAUUCCAUUAGCUAUCAAAUGAUAUCUAACAUUUUCAAUGGUCUCCCAUGUCCCAUUUUUACAAUUAACACAUGGACAUUUCAUCAAAUCUUCAACUACACCUUUAUUCUCAAUUGCAAAUUUUAUAAAUUGCUCAACACCCAAUUUAUAUUCCGGAGUAAGUGUUAUUCGGUUACUUUCUAAUCGACGAUUCAUCCAACUACGAUCAUUGGUCGACAUCUACAUACAAGCAUACACAAACAACUCAAAACAAUAUACACACACAUACACAUAUAUAUACACACAAUUAUAUACACAAAUAUAUACACAUAUGUACACAUAUGUACACAUAUAUACACAUAUAUACACAUACAAACAUUUCAUACCUCCAAGUUCAAUUUCAACUUCACCUCCUAUUUCAACUUCACCUUCAAUUUCAAAAUUACACAUUUCAUAAUUAGAAAUAUAUUCAAAAAAGAAGACAAACAUUUUAAGGUUAAUUCAUACCUUCAAAUUUUUUUUCUCUUCCACAAAUAUAUAAUUAUG
rnacentral:lncRNA from 1 species